rnacentral:rRNA from 1 species
GUAACAAGGUCUCCGUUGGUGAACCAGCGGAGGGAUCAUUAUCGAGUUAUUCAACUCCCAAACCCUAUGUGAACUUACCACUUGUUGCUUCGGCGCGCGCUUCGGCGCCGCCGAGGACACUUAAACUCUUUGUUUUUAUAAGCAUUUCUGAGUGGCCGAAAGGCAAAAAUACAAAUGAAUCAAAACUUUCAACAACGGAUCUCUUGGUUCUGGCAUCGAUGAAGAACGCAGCGAAAUGCGAUAAGUAAUGUGAAUUGCAGAAUUCAGUGAAUCAUCGAAUCUUUGAACGCACAUUGCGCCCGCCAGCAUUCUGGCGGGCAUGCCUGUUCGAGCGUCAUUUCAACCCUCGAGCCCGACUCUUUUGAGGACGGCUCGGCGUUGGGGGACGGCAGACUCCCCCCGGCAUCUCGCCGGGGACGCCGCCCCCGAAAUCUAGUGGCGGCCCUCCGAGGCGACCUCUGCGUAGUAACUUGUUCUCGCACCGGAAAGCUCAGAGCGGCCACGCCGUAAAACCCCAACUUUUUUCAGGUUGACCUCGAAUCAGGUAGGACUACCCGCUGAACUUAAGCAUAUCAAU